AUGCAGUACUAGGGAUUUUCUUUUGUGUGAAAUAUCCUUCAAGACUUGCAAUAUGACACCAAGUAAGAUUAGAAUUAGCGUUGUUUUAUUUUGAAAAGUCACUUAAUAAUACCUGCGUGUGGUGUUUGGUAUUC